rnacentral:rRNA from 1 species
GACGUAGGAGGCGAGCGUUAUCCGGAAUCACUGGGCGUAAAGCGCAUGUAGGCGGUUAUCCAAGUCGUGUGUUAAAGCCCCCGGCUCAACUGGGGGAGGUCAUGCGAGACUGAAUGACUGGAGGGCAGCAGAGGCACGUGGAACUCCCGGUGUAGCGGUGGAAUGCGUAGAGAUCGGGAAGAACACCCGUGGCGAAGGCGACGUGCUGGGCUGCAUCUGACGCUGAGAUGCGAAAGUGUGGGGAGCAAACGGG